CGGCGGCGGCUACGGCGGCGGCGGCGGUGUUAGCUCACUUCUUAAAAGCUUUAUAUUUCAGAAGGUGGAAGACCUGGAUGCUUCAUACUUUGUAUACAGAUGCUUCAUGUUACGAAGUUUCCGUCAGUCACAUGUCCAAUGUCCUUGACCUCAUUUUCAUGGUUCAGUGACCACUUGAAAAAAAAGUUCAAAUUUUUUGUAAUGUU
rnacentral:lncRNA from 1 species